rnacentral:rRNA from 1 species
CUUAACACAUGCAAGUCGCGGGGUAACAUCUGGUAGAGCUUGCUCUUCCAGGAUGACGACCGGCGCACGGGUGAGUAACGCGUAUCCAACCUGGCCCAUACCACGGGAUAGCCGUCAAAGGCGGAUUAAUACCGUAUGCUGUCAUUAAGAUGCAUAUAUUGAUGACGAAAGGACUGGCGGUAUGGGAUGGGGAUGCGUCUGAUUAGCUUGUUGGCGGGGUAACGGCCCACCAAGGCGACGAUCAGUAGGGGUUCUGAGAGGAAGGUCCCCCACAUUGGAACUGAGACACGGUCCAAAACUCCUACGGGAGGCAGCAGUGAGGAAUAUUGGUCAAUGGGCGCAAGCCUGAACCAGCCAAGUAGCGUGAGGGAUGACUGCCCUACGGGUUGUAAACCUCUUUUGUUUGGGAAUAAAGUGCGGGACGUGUCCCGCAUUGCAUGUACCAUUUGAAUAAGGACCGGCUAAUUCCGUG